rnacentral:rRNA from 1 species
GUAAUACGGAGGGUGCAAGCGUUACUCGGAAUCACUGGGCGUAAAGAGCGUGUAGGCGGAUAGGUAAGUCAGAAGUGAAAUCCAAUAGCUCAACUAUUGAACUGCUUUUGAAACUGCUUAUCUAGAAUAUGGGAGAGGUAGAUGGAAUUUCUGGUGUAGGGGUAAAAUCCGUAGAGAUCAGAAGGAAUACCGAUUGCGAAGGCGAUCUACUGGAACAUUAUUGACGCUGAGACGCGAAAGCGUGGGGAGCAAACAGGAUUAGAUACCCUGGUAGUCCACGCCCUAAACGAUGUACACUAGUUGUUGUGAGGCUCGACCUUGCAGUAAUGCAGUUAACACAUUAAGUGUACCGCCUGGGGAGUACGGUCGCAAGAUUAAAACUCAAAGGAAUAGACGGGGACCCGCACAAGCGGUGGAGCAUGUGGUUUAAUUCGACGAUACACGAAGAACCUUACCUGGACUUGACAUAGUAAGAACUUUCUAGAGAUAGAUUGGUGUCUGCUUGCAGAAACUUAUAUACAGGUGCUGCACGGCUGUCGUCAGCUCGUGUCGUGAGAUGUUGGGUUAAGUCCCGCAACGAGCGCAACCCUCGUCAUUAGUUGCUAACAGUUCGGCUGAGAACUCUAAUGAGACUGCCUACGCAAGUAGGAGGAAGGUGAGGAUGACGUCAAGUCAUCAUGGCCCUUACGUCCAGGGCUACACACGUGCUACAAUGGGGUAUACAAAGAGCAGCAAUACGGUGACGUGGAGCAAAUCUCAAAAAUAUCUCCCAGUUCGGAUUGUAGUCUGCAACUCGACUACAUGAAGUUGGAAUCGCUAGUAAUCGUAGAUCAGCUAUGCUACGGUGAAUACGUUCCCGGGUCUUGUACUCACCGCCCGUCACACCAUGGGAGUUGAACUCAUUCGAAGCGGGGAUGCUAAAAUAGCUACCUUCCACAGUGGAUUCAGCAGACUGGGGUGAAGUCGUAACAAGGUAGCCGUAAAUCGU